GAGAAACACAAUUUGAAGUGUUUCUGUACUCAUUUAAACUGUCUCUAAUGAUAAUGCUUAAUAAUUAAUUUAUUGAGUUCUAUUAUUUUCUUAGUCAACCUAAGAUGUCGACCCUUGAUGCAUUCUAGGUGAAUUAGGUUUUAAUGUUACCAAUAUGUCACAUUUGUAGCCUUUUGAUAUUGGUACAUGUUACCAAAUUCAUUUCCAUGUAUAUUGCGUUUUAUUGCAAUUUUUCGGAUUCCGGUAUACUAAUUUGACCUAGCCGGAUGACCUAGUUCCCUCGGUUUUUGGGUUUCGAUCAAAACUACAAACUUGUAGAUCU
rnacentral:misc_RNA from 1 species